rnacentral:rRNA from 1 species
ACCGAAGAGUUUACUCUUCGGGGUUGUAGGACUGCAAUGUGGACUCAAAGAUUAUAGAAGAAUGAUUUGGGAAGAUCAGCCAAAGAGAGUAAUAGCCUCGUAUUUAAAAUAGUCUUUGUACCUAGCAGUAUCCUGAGUACGGCGGGACACGUGAAAUCCCGUCGGAAUCUGGGAGGACCAUCUCCCAACCCUAAAUACUCCCUAGUGACCGAUAGUGAACCAGUACCGUGAGGGAAAGGUGAAAAGCACCCCGGGAGGGGAGUGAAAUAGAACCUGAAACCGUGUGCCUACAACAAGUUCGAGCCCGUUAAUGGGUGAGAGCGUGCCUUUUGUAGAAUGAACCGGCGAGUUACGUUAUGAUGCGAGGUUAAGUUGAAGAGACGGAGCCGUAGGGAAACCGAGUCUGAAUAGGGCGCCUUAGUAUCAUGACGUAGACCCGAAACCAUGUGACCUACCCAUGAGCAGGUUGAAGGUGCGGUAAGACGCACUGGAGGACCGAACCAGGGCACGUUGAAAAGUGCUUGGAUGACUUGUGGGUAGCGGAGAAAUUCCAAACGAACUUGGAGAUAGCUGGUUCUCUCCGAAAUAGCUUUAGGGCUAGCGUCGACAUUAGAGAUUCUUGGAGGUAGAGCACUGUUUGGGUGAGGGGUCCAUCCCGGAUUACCAAUCUCAGAUAAACUCCGAAUGCCAAUGAAUUAUGGUCGGCAGUCAGACUGCGAGUGCUAAGAUCCGUAGUCGAAAGGGAAACAGCCCAGACCACCAGCUAAGGUCCCAAAAUAAUUGUUAAGUGGAAAAGGAUGUGGGGUUGCACAGACAACUAGGAUGUUAGCUUAGAAGCAGCUAUUCAUUCAAAGAGUGCGUAAUAGCUCACUAGUCGAGUGACCCUGCGCCGAAAAUGUACCGGGGCUAAAACAAUUUACCGAAGCUGUGGAUACCUUUAUAGGUAUGGUAGGAGAGCGUUCUAUGUGUGAUGAAGGUAUACCGUGAGGAGUGCUGGAACGCAUAGAAGUGAGAAUGCCGGUAUGAGUAGCGAAAGACAGGUGAGAAUCCUGUCCACCGUAAGACUAAGGUUUCCAGGGGAAGGCUCGUCCGCCCUGGGUUAGUCGGGACCUAAGGAGAGACCGAAAGGUGUAUCCGAUGGACAACAGGUUGAUAUUCCUGUACUAGAGUAUGUAGUGAUGGAGGGACGCAGUAGGCUAACUAAAGCAGACGAUUGGAAGAGUCUGUCUAAGCAGUGAGGUGUGAUAUGAGUCAAAUGCUUAUAUCUGUAACAUUGAGCUGUGAUGGGGAGCGAAGUUUAGUAGCGAAGUUAGUGACGUCACACUGCCAAGAAAAGCUUCUAGCGUUUAAACAUACUCUACCCGUACCGCAAACCGACACAGGUAGUCGAGGCGAGUAGCCUCAGGUGAGCGAGAGAACUCUCGUUAAGGAACUCGGCAAAAUGACCCCGUAACUUCGGGAGAAGGGGUGCUGACUUUAAGUCAGCCGCAGUGAAUAGGCCCAAGCAACUGUUUAUCAAAAACACAGCUCUCUGCUAAAUCGUAAGAUGAUGUAUAGGGGGUGACGCCUGCCCGGUGCUGGAAGGUUAAGAGGAGUGCUUAGCGUAAGCGAAGGUAUGAAUUGAAGCCCCAGUAAACGGCGGCCGUAACUAUAACGGUCCUAAGGUAGCGAAAUUCCUUGUCGGGUAAGUUCCGACCCGCACGAAAGGCGUAAUGAUUUGGGCACUGUCUCAACGAGAGACUCGGUGAAAUUUUAGUACCUGUGAAGAUGCAGGUUACCCGCGACAGGACGGAAAGACCCCAUGGAGCUUUACUGCAGUUUGAUAUUGAGUGUCUGUACCACAUGUACAGGAUAGGUAGGAGUCUAAGAGAUCGGGACGCCAGUUUCGAAGGAGACGCUGUUGGGAUACUACCCUUGUGUUAUGGCCACUCUAACCCAGAUAGGUGAUCCCUAUCGGAGACAGUGUCUGACGGGCAGUUUGACUGGGGCGGUCGCCUCCUAAAAGGUAACGGAGGCGCCCAAAGGUUCCCUCAGAAUGGUUGGAAAUCAUUCGCAGAGUGUAAAGGUAUAAGGGAGCUUGACUGCGAGAGCUACAACUCGAGCAGGGACGAAAGUCGGGCUUAGUGAUCCGGUGGUUCCGUAUGGAAGGGCCAUCGCUCAACGGAUAAAAGCUACCCUGGGGAUAACAGGCUUAUCUCCCCCAAGAGUUCACAUCGACGGGGAGGUUUGGCACCUCGAUGUCGGCUCGUCGCAUCCUGGGGCUGUAGUCGGUCCCAAGGGUUGGGCUGUUCGCCCAUUAAAGCGGCACGCGAGCUGGGUUCAGAACGUCGUGAGACAGUUCGGUCCCUAUCCGUCGCGGGCGUAGGAAAUUUGAGAGGAUCUGCUCCUAGUACGAGAGGACCAGAGUGGACUUACCGCUGGUGUACCAGUUGUCUUGCCAAAGGCAUCGCUGGGUAGCUAUGUAGGGAAGGGAUAAACGCUGAAAGCAUCUAAGUGUGAAACCCACCUCAAGAUGAGAUUUCCCAUGAUUAUAUAUCAGUAAGAGCCCUGAGAGAUGAUCAGGUAGAUAGGUUAGAAGUGGAAGUGUGGCGACACAUGUAGCGGACUAAUACUAAUAGCUCGAGGACUUAUCCAA